CCUACGGGAGGCAGCAGUGAGGAAUAUUGGUCAAUGGACGCGAGUCUGAACCAGCCAAGUAGCGUGAAGGAUGACUGCCCUAUGGGUUGUAAACUUCUUUUAUAUAGGAAUAAACUGUUCCACGUGUGGGCUUUUGUAUGUACCUUAUGAAUAAGGAUCGGCUAACUCCGUGCCAGCAGCCGCGGUAAUACGGAGGAUCCGAGCGUUAUCCGGAUUUAUUGGGUUUAAAGGGAGCGUAGAUGGAUUGUUAAGUCAGUUGUGAAAGUUUGCGGCUCAACCGUAAAAUUGCAGUUGAAACUGGCAGUCUUGAGUACAGUAGAGGUGGGCGGAAUUCGUGGUGUAGCGGUGAAAUGCUUAGAUAUCACGAAGAACUCCGAUUGCGAAGGCAGCUCACUGGACUGCAACUGACACUGAGGCUCGAAAGUGUGGGUAUCAAACAGGAUUAGAUACCCGUGUAGUC
rnacentral:rRNA from 1 species